GGCCGAUUACAGUAGCUCAGUUGGUUCGAGCGUCGUGCUAAUAACGCCGCGAAGGUCUUGGGUUCGAUUCUCACAUUGGCCA